AGACCCGAAACCCGGUGAUCUAGCCAUGGGCAGGUUGAAGGUUGGGUAACACUAACUGGAGGACCGAACCGACUAAUGUUGAAAAAUUAGCGGAUGACCUGUGGCUGGGGGUGAAAGGCCAAUCAAACCGGGAGAUAGCUGGUUCUCCCCGAAAGCUAUUUAGGUAGCGCCUCGUGAAUUCAUCUCCGGGGGUAGAGCACUGUUUCGGCUAGGGGGCCAUCCCGGCUUACCAACCCGAUGCAAACUGCGAAUACCGGAGAAUGUUAUCACGGGAGACACACGGCGGGUGCUAACGUCCGUCGUGAAGAGGGAAACAACCCAGACCGCCAGCUAAGGUCCCAAAGUCAUGGUUAAGUGGGAAACGAUGUGGGAAGGCCCAGACAGCCAGGAUGU
rnacentral:rRNA from 2 species